rnacentral:lncRNA from 1 species
CCCCGGCCAUGAGCAGCUUGAAUCCUUGCUCUCUGUCCUCGCUGUCCAUCCCUCUGUCUCAUCCAUGAAACUAGAGUGACAGCCCUGGCCUCUUCCUCUACAUCCUUCCUUCUUCAGUAAGGAAGCAAACUAGGAGGAAAUUAAGGGAUCUAGGAAAAGACUUUUCCCUCUUAAAGAAAAAAGGAAAACGAGAGGAUUUUUAUUUUUUGAAUAAUAACUAAUAGAUUCAGUGCUUGUUGUAUGC